GAGGCAAAUUUCCCCCGAUAGCCAUACAAGUUGACUGAUUGGCACCAAAAGAACAUUCGACAUCCAGCAUUGCAUUGUUUUGAAGCAUAGCUCUCCUGCGGUUUUCCCUGCAGGAAUACAUGGUCCUCGUGUUUGUUGCAGCUUUUUGAAGUUGCCAAGGUGCAUUAGUUUGCACAUUGAAAUAAUUAAAGAGUGGUCUUUUCUGGACUCUGUCAUUUGGCUGGGAAUAUACAUCUCCAAGUGAAAGUUGAACAUCAUCCACCAAAUUUUCUUUUCCAGUCUUGGAAUGCCAAAAGCUAUCCACACUGUCUUGGAAAAUAUUGGGUGUUCUCGAAUGUCUCCCUCUGGCAGUAGGCAUGGUAUUGAAAAGCUUAGAUUGCUCCUCUUCCCACUGCUCAGCAAGUUCCUUGGGAGUCCUCCAUGGACAAAAGUGCAGCCUCGGAUCCCUUAACAUGACAUCCCAAUUUCCUCUUCCAUACCUCCUGAUGCCAACCCAAAGAGAAUCUAGCUCUUCCUCUGACCACAUUCUUGGAGAAUCAUACGAUUCUAGACAGCUGCCUCUCUUUCGCUUCGGCAUUCUUGCUCUACUGACAAUAUUAUCUAGCACCAUCUUGUGUCUUCUAUAGGAUGAUGUCUGAUGUGGAAAUUCAGGCACUGUAUCUUGAGCAAAUUCUUUUGAUUGAAUGCCAAUAUUAGGCCGCUGAGAUGAGGUGGAACUUUGAUCAUGACCAUCAUUUAUCAGUUCCAUGGGCAGAAAUAAACCAAGAAAGAGUGAAGAUUUUGUUGCCGAAAGUCUCGUCUGGCUCCUGCUCUCCGUCAGACCAACAGUCCUUUCUUCAGAAUCAGCACAAGCUGUAACAUAUUUAUGCGUCUUCUUUGAUUGGAACAUAUCAUCAGAUCUAUCCUCUGGAAAUAGCUGAAAAAAGAUACCAGAUUGCCUAUUUUUAAGCACCAAACUCUAUUUCGCCUAUUGAAAAGGAAAUGACUAACAAUUUUUAACGUAUGACAACAAAAUCAUGUAAUAGAUGUUUUAUCUAAUAACUGGUUCUUGAAACUCAAUAAUCCCACCAACCUGUAGGCAGUUGUUUUUCAGUCCAAAUACUGGAGAAGAAUUUGCUACAUUAUUAUAAUUGUGACCAACAGCUUCCUCAGAAAGGAAACCAUCUUCUGGUAACUGUGCCUGGUGAAGUGGAUGUUUUUCCCCAACUCUCUCACAGAGCAACUCCAAGCGUUUGCUUCCUGGAGACUCAUCUUUAAUAAGCAUAGUAUGACUUCCACUUUGUGAGUUCAGCAAACCACAGAGUGGCUGUUCUUCAUGGAUAGAUGCUGUACCACACUCCUCUGUACCAUGAGAAUCUAUAAUAACAUGAUGUUAAAGUUGAGUUUUAGCAAACACCAACUGAAACGAUAGACAUAGCAGAAGCAGGUAAAGAAUUAAAUAAAACUAAUCCACCUCAAACAUGAUUUAGAAAUCCUCACCAGGAAGAGGUACAGAUAAGUCCAGUGAUACUGCAGCAUGUUGGCCACGAGGAAUCUCAUUGGUUUUUCUUACGGUGCUCAGGUCAUCAUAGGACAAUCUUAAAGAUUCAUGAGCUACAGUAUCUUGACAACUGAGUCUUAGAGAUUCCUGAGCUACAGUAUUUUUACAGUAUUUUGACACUGGUUUGCAAGAAAGGUCAUCAGCCGAAUCAUUUGAUAAGUUUCCUGAACAACCUAUACGACCUUCUAGGAAGUCAACCCCAACAGAAUUCUGAGGAAAUACUUCCAAUGUAGACUGGUUGUCCUGUGUAUUUUCCAGCUUGUCAUCUGCUUGCUCGAAGCUGCUAAAUAACAUACAAGAGGAUGAAUUCACAUGACUACUUGGUAGAGUAGAAACAUUUCUACGACAGUUUGAAGCUUACUUCGCAUUUUCAGGAGAUAAUCUAGAGGUAUAUGAUUCUUCAACUUCUCUGCUUGCCAUCUGUUGAAGACCAGCAAACUUAUUGAACUCAACAAGAAAGCAUAUGUACCAUUGAGCAGAAUCAAUCGACUACUAGCCUCUUUAUUCUCCCUUUCCCCAUAGAGUUACCACGAUGAAUCAAUGAAAGCAACAAAAUUCACAAUAACAGGAAAGUUCAGCUACAGCAAAUUAAGACUACCCCAGACCGUAUGACUGCAACACAUUGUCAGAACAUCUUUAAAACAAAUGUUACAGAUAUUUUGGUGUCAUGUUGCUAAAUAUGAGCCGAUAAGAAGUUGUGAAGUGUGAAUAGAAAUCACAUGUUCCUUCCAUCUUUACCAGAGGACUUAAUUUAAAACAUUCAUGCUUCCAACAUAUCAUUUACACUAUCUAAGAAAUCGAAUAAUGACUCAGAACCAAACUCUCCGUUAGAUUCCUCUAAUGUGGAACUGAAUUCCUGGCUGAAUAAAAUCUUAAUAGGAAAUGCAUACUAUUACCACAAUCACCUAAAUACAAAAUCACUUUCGGUUCCAUUUGUUAAUGCAAAAUACCUGUCUUCACUUUCUAGAAAAAAUAACUAUUUUCAAGAAUAGCCUGUCAAGUUGCUUACUUGACUCCACACAAGAUUACCACCGUAGAGGCUCCAAAUUUUGCAAGUGAGCAUCAUCUUGUGUAAAGAGAGAGGGGGGGAAAAAAGAACAGCUACUUCAAAAGUGAUAACGUACUUUUUCAUGAUUUGCAUCAAAGGCAACCCUCCUGUUAAGAUUCUCCUCCGAUGGGUUCGUAUUCACUAAAAUAUGUUUUGAACCACUUUCAGGAGGCGUUGCUUCCCCAACAGAUGCAAAGCCUGCAGACUUUGACCCUGUAAAUUCCAAUGAACAAUCCUCUGCAACUCCCAAGGUGUUUUGCGUAUGUAGCCCAUCCACAUCUUUUUUCCGCUUGCAUCUUCGAUAAAAAGUAAUUAGUGGAGAGCUCAAUUUGCUUUGCAAGGUUCCAGAGGCACUCAAGCUACCGGGUUUAUCUUCAACAGGCAAACAAGUUUCUUUCAGAUUAAAUUUGUCCAAUUCACUGGCAAUCUUGUAGCCACCAGCAUAAUCUUUUUCAACCGAUGAUUUCAAGCUGAACUGAUGUGUUUCACUUCCAGAAUUGCAAUUUGCAGAAGAAGGAAUGGAACAUUUCAUGGUAGGUCUAUUGCGACGUAUAGAGAUAGAUUUAACAACUGAAUAUGAGGCUUCUUUGAUACUAGCUGACUUUCCAGGAGUAUGUAAAUCUGCAGAGAGUUGGUCGCCAGAAGCAUUCUGAAAGAUGCCUUCUCUCGGACUCGCCUCCAAUACUGCAUGAGAAUCAGCGUCCAACUGUCUCAUAUCGUGUACAAGCAGGUUUUUAUCCUCUUCUAUGCUUGCCUUUUCAGCAGAUACACAGAAAUUUUGCCGUUUGAUGUAACCAGAGUACUGCCUUUUUCCUUCAGAAGCAUGCUUCAAGAGAUAAAACUGCAAAUGGUAAUAAAAUAUCAGUUGAACAUUUCUCUUGCCAGCACAAAUUCUGCAUAUUUAUGUCUAUUGCCAAAUAGAAAAGACAUGAAAGGAUAAGAUGCAUUUCUACAGCAUCCAGGAAAUGGAAGCCCAAGCGACACUCAGAUCAGGAAAUAUACAAGAAGACCAAUGUUAGAGUAACGAGCCAAACUAGGGAAAUCAGCUUGAUGUCAAGUGAACUCCAUUAAAGAUGAUGAAGAGUUCAGCUUUAGUCCCAGGUUCCCAAUUAAGCAUUAGUUUCUGUUUGUCUGUUCACGUAAUUUCGAACUUAUUUGAGGUUAAUAAGUUCUGGGACAAAGGACACCUGGCCCUAUUUAAAAAACUACCCUUCACAUUGAUUAGUGUCCUCCUUUAUGCGUACAGAAUCCUUGAUAGGUUCUAACAACUACCAAAUUCCCAAUUUCCCCAUAUCUCCACCUUCCCAUCAAAAACUCAGAGUGCUGCUUGAUCACUAUAUUGCGCAGUUUAAUACAUUAUUAUCUUCCCUAUUGCAGAACGUAUAGAAGAAAAGAAAAAAAAGAAAAAAGAAAAUAUUCCUUUAUUUUCUAAAGAUGAAUUCAGCUAUUCCUAUCUUUUUCCUAAGGGGUUUAAGCCAAGGGAAGUGAUAAGGUGAAAAUGGUAAAUGAGAUUGCUCCGCAACUCUUGUGAACAGUCACCUUUCUCUACAGUUGGCAAGCCGGUUUUUACCUAAUAUAAUGUGCUGAAGACCAACCACUGUAAGACCAAUAACAAAGAAGACAAAGAAUCCUCACUACUAACACCUUCAAUCUUGUGAAAUUGAAUCUCCAUGUACACACAGAUAAAAAAAAAAAAAAAGCCCAACCAAAUUACAUGCAAACAGUUCAGAGUUCAAUCCCUCACACGGCAGAAGCAGAAGUUAGGACCCAACGUUUCAAACUAGCUUCAUAGAAGACUGGUUCUCAACAACCUCUCCCACUUUCACUAUCUCAAACAGUUUCAUACUUUCUUCUCAUUGAGUGGUGAAGACAAUAACUGCAUACUGAAAGUUUAACAAAAGACGUACUUUUCACCAUCAUGUGAUCAAAGGUAGAAAGCGUGGGCAUUCAUCAUUCAAAAAAUGCAGAGCACUUUGGAAAGGAAACAAAAAACCAAACAGCGAAACUCUUAUCUACUCAGCUGCAAAAUUUUGGACUAACAAAGUUGCUUAACAUGGUCCACAUCCCAUUGCUAGUGAAGUUAUGUCAAUAUGCAAACUUUGGCUUACCAUCAAACCAUACAAAGUAAUUAUAACCAAAAAGUAGCUACAUAGCUAUCUUUUCCCACCUGAGGGAAAGUUAAGAGGGCAAACUAAGCAUGGCACAUAGCAAUACUGCAGCAUUUUAUGCUGGAAAAUUUAAGUAUAUCAGUGAAACAAGCAUACAAGACCAAUCUUCUGAUUGCAUUGCAUGAACAAGCAAUAAUAGUUUUGCUGCAACCCCAAAAAAAAUCUCAAACUAACAUCGAAACCAAAAACAUCUUACUCUACCAGAGCAAUUCCCACAACCACAACAUGGACAUACAACAUGAAAAAAGAGUAAAAAUUUAAAUAAUUGAAGAUAAUAUUUCACCCCAUCAUUUCUGGCAGGACACUCUGAUCUAUUGUCUUCAGUUGAUUCCUGUUGAUUUUCUGCAGUAGGUGGGGAAUCAGUCCUCGGGAAUUCUGAUUCAUUGUCUUCAGUUGAUUCCUCUUCCUUUUCUGCUGUAUUUGGGGCAUCAUUACUAGGGCAUUCUGAACCAUUGCCUUCAGUUGAUUCCUCUUGCGUUUCUGCCAUAGUCAGGGCAUCAUUCCUUGGGCAUCCUGAUCUAUUGCCUUCACUUGUUUCUUCUUGCUUUUGUGCUGUAGUUGGGACAUCAGUACUUGGGCAUUCUAUUAUAUUGCCGUCAGUAGACUCCUCUAGCUUUUCUGCCUUAAUGGAGGGAUCAUUACUUGGGCAUUCUGAAUUAUUGCCUUGAGUUGAUUCCUCAUGCUCUUUUGCUGUAGUUGAGGCAUUAUAACUUGGGCAUUCUGAUUUAUUGCUUUCAUUUGAUUCCCCUUUCUUUUCAGUCGUAGUUGAGCCAUUACAACUGGGGCACCUUGCUGAUGUAUCAGGACUCUCGUUAUUCCAAGAAAAAUCCUUCCUUGAUGGAGGCUUCUUACGCUUGUAUGCAAUCCAAUGCGGUGUCCUCUGACGCUUGUAUGUUAAAAUGACUUUGCCUCCAGUCAUCAUGCAUCACUACAAUCAUAAACAAGUCCUUUUCAUAUGAAAUUGCAUCACAACAAUUAGAAGCUGCAGAUAACAAAUUCACGGAAAUGCACUCACAAUAUCUUAACCCACAAACUUUUUUGCACCUCAAAGUCCUCCUUAUGCAUCUAAAAAUCCUAAUUUGUUACGAUACCCAGUACAAAGAAUGCAACCACACACAAAACUGUCCCAUCUGACUAAAGGAAAAGCCACUAUGCCAUUUCUUGAUCAUCAUACAACAUGAUUAAAGCCCAACUGAGAAGUAUUUAGAAUAUCCCUCAACAAAGAUAGCCUUGCACCAAAGCCCAAUACCAAAGGAAAAGGAAAAAUAGAAAAUCCGCAGAAGAAAUUUCAUAUACCAUGUCUGAUUUAUACCUGGCAUAUUGCUAACCAUUAAUGCAGACCAAUAACAAAAGCAAGCAAGAAUCUUUACCAAUUCUACAGCACCAUUUUAUCGUUUUAUAAACAAUAAGGGCACAAUUUAACCAUAACACCAGUAUGAAAGAGAAAACCACAAGAUAAUAGCAUGGUUAACAAGAAAAAAGCAACAAAAUUUACAGUGGUCAUGAUCAAGAAGAAAACAGCAGUCAAGUCAUAAUUCAUACUUUCAGGGCAGCAAUUUACAUAAACAAGACCGCACUUAAGAACCCACGAGAAAAAGAAGCUCAAGAAUAAGCAAAAAGACUUACCUUAAGUCUUUCAGAGGCAUAAAAAUGACAUCUUUGGCUGUUCGAAGAAAUAAAAAAAAAAAAAAAAAAACUGAAGGAACAGAACAAAUACUGCUAGCUGUUAGCUCCACCUACUAACAGUCAAUCCACAGUAUAUCCAACUACUACUACCAGUAGCAGUGUGUGGGUGUUGUGCUUUUUGGCUUGUUUUGAAUGAGAGAAAAGGACAGAGAAGAAAGAUGGGAGACAGAAUUUACUGCUUUGAAUGGAGAGCACAGCGGUAACGUGGUAUGGUAAGACUAAAAAGUGAUGAGAGAGGGACAGAAAAAGCAUACGUUUUUCCUUUAUGUUUUUCUUUUUUUCUUUUAUUCUUUUAAAAUUAAUACUAAUUGAAUAUUGUGUGAGUUACAUUGACCUCCUUUAAUGUUUCUCAAAUUCCAUACAUCGCCCAUAUAAUUUUUGAUAUUAUAGCGUGAUAAUUUAGUUUGAGUGUUACUUCCAUAUAUUGCAUAUCAUAUUGACAUAUAUUACAUAAACAACUUGUAUAUACCAAUUCAAACAAAUAUUUAUUUGCAAGUUUGAAUUCUAAUGCACAAACGUCAAGAGUUUCGCUUUUCUACUAAAAGAAAGCGUAAAAUAUUUUAUUGAAAUUAAAACACUUGAUUGGCUCAUAAAAUAAAGCCAAAGUACUCCACUAAUAAGUAUUUUGAAAAAGAAGUACUCAUGAAAAAGUAAUGGUAACAUAAAUAAAGCCAAAGUAUUUUGUUUUCAAAAGAAAAAGGUAAAGUGAUGUAAUAGCAUGAAUAAUGGGAUAUGAAUUAGUAAAUAAUAUGAGUAAGAAAGAUGCUCCUUAUCAUAUUUUUCAAUUUUCUACAACUACAUAGUCUCUUGAAGAAUGUGAAGAAAAAGCAUGCAUUUUUCCUUUGUGUUUUUCCCUUUUUUCUUUUAAAAUUAAUAAUUAAAUAUUAUGCGAGUUACAUUGACCUUCUUGAAUGUAUUUCAUAAUUCCACAUAUGGCUCAUAUAAUUUUUGAUGUUAUGGGAUGAUAAUUUAGUUUGGGAAUCACUUCCAUAAAAUUGCAUAUCAUGUUGAUAUAUUACAUAAACACUUUUGUAUACCAAUUCAAAUAAAUAUCUAUUUGCAAUCUUUGCAUUCUAAUGCACAUACAUUAGGCCUUUUUUGAAUUGCUGUUUUCAAUAAAAAAAAAUUUUACAUUGUUCAGGAACAUAUUUCUUAUUUUUAUCCCACAUAUAUCAAAUUGUUGUAGAAAAUUUUUUCACAAAAAUUCCUAAUAAUAACAAUUCAAACGAGCUCCAAGAGUUUCACUUUUCUACUAAAAAAAAGUGUAAAAUAUCUCAUUGAAAUUAAAACACUUGAUUGGCCCAUAAAAUAAAGCCAAAGUAUUUGACUAAAUAGUUUUGAAAACUACAAGUCUCUUGCAGAAUAGAAGAAAUUAUCCUCAGAAAAAAAAAACUCAUAAAAGAAAUUACUGCAAUUUUGAAAGUAUUGUUGACAGUUGUGCAAUUAAAGCAAGUACAGGGGGGAGCGAGAGCAAUUCUUUCACUAAUUGCUUUUCACAACUCACUAGUCGAAAGUCGAAACAAGUACGUCGUCGUACGUUAGAUCGUCGAGCGGAGGAAGGAAAGUGGGGCCCCCAACAUCGUCUGGCAGGUGUGGGGCAGGUGAUGUGGACUACUGCUGCCGGGAGGUUACAUCACAGUCUUCAAUGCUGAGGUUUUUUCUGGAACUUCUGACUGUGACUAUGAGGGCACGUGAAGCGCAUGUGAACCACACUGCAGCAACGGUGCCCGCCAAAGCAAAAGAUAAAGGAUUUGAUUGAUUGAGUUAAUUCUUUGUUUGGCAGAGUAUUAUUCUUUGAAUAAUUACGUACCACUUUUUAUCAUGUAAUAUAUAUGAGAUAAAAAGAUGAUUAGAAAUAUAAAAAUAUGAAUUAAAAAAUAUAUUUAUAAUACAAGUGAAAAAAAUUUGCUAUCCAAACAUAGUAAAAGUAUCCACUGAUAAUGUAUACAUUAUCACGAUUAAAUGUGUAAUAUAAGAGAAAAUUUUAAAUUCAUAUGAGUUAUCAUACAUUUAAUGACGAUGAUAUAUACACGAUCAGUGUACAGAAGACUAAUCAAAUUUUUUUUUUGGAUUGCAAUUUUUUUGGAUUUUUGUAGAAAAAUUACUAUAGCGAUUUGAUAUAUGUGAGGUUAGAAGGUGAUGAAAAAUUGUGUCCACGAAGAAUGUAGCAAUUUUUCAAAGCAAUCCAAACGAAUAUAAACUUAUUUUUCAAGAGGUGAAAACUGCAUUCAACAAAUACAUUGAAUAUAAUUUUUUAUUUGUGUUAGUUUGUUUGGAUAAUUUAUUAUUUAUACAAAUUUAUUUACUUGCAUCAUAAAUAUAUUUUUUAAAUUAUUUUUUAUUUUAUAUAUAUCAUAUCAAAAGAAUGCUAAGAUAUUUUUUUUCCAAAAAUAAUUCUAAAUAAUCUGUCAUCCAAACACUUAUCCUAAAUAUUUCCUCUAAGUCCCUCUCAUCUAUCCUAUUCUUAUGACUACACAUUAAACUCAGUAGCAAAUUUGAUAAAUGUUUUAAAUCAUUCAAAACAUCUAUCACAUUUUGCCACAUAAAUUUUUUCGUCAUUUACUUUUAAAUUAGCAAUUUUACAUCCCUUACAAAAUUAAAUCGAUAAAUCCCAAGCUAAAUUUUCACCAUUUUUUACCCUAAAUCCAUCAUGUAAUCCAUAUUUUGUCUUUUUUUAGGGGCAAAAAGAUUAAUCUCAAUUGUAGUUUAAAAAAAUGACCGGAUUCAUGUUUAUUUUACCCCUAAAAUAGUAUGAUCUGAUCCAAAUUAUAUUUAUUUUUCAUAAAAAAUAGGAUCGGAUGCAAUCUAUAUUUAUUUUUGUCACUAACAGAUAGGAUCUGAUCUUUUUUUACGUAAACAAUAACUACAUGUAGAUCACAUGGUCAUUUUCAAACUAAUAAGUGGUUAGAAAUUUAGGUUGAGGUCCAAAUUUACCGAUUUAAAUUUGUAAGGGAUGAAAAAUUAAUAUUUUAAAAGUGAAUACUGAGUAAUAGAUAAGUAUAGUAAAAGCAGUUAUGUGAACACCUGAGUGUGGAACAUGAGAUGGUGAGCAACUGAGUGUGAAACAUGAUAUCGCUGUACGUUACUCCAUCAUGCAAGAGUGAUAUCGAAAUAACAAUUAAUGACAGUUUUUAUUUAACACCAAACCCAUCUAUAUCUAUAUGUAUUCAAGAAAGGGUUUUUAGCAGAAACCCUCUAAAUGGCAUCUAAAUUUCUCAUUCUUUUUUCUAGAUUUUUGUAUUUAUUUUAAUACAUAAAAAGUAGUGGGUUAUAACCCACCUUAUCACCAAAUAAAUUUAAAUUUAAAAUAUUCCCACUAUCUCUUAACUCAUCCUACAACCAUUCCUACAAAUCCUCUAAUCAUCAUCCCACGUUUCCCCUACAUUUCCUCCUACGUUUUCCACUCCAAUUAAGAGUCCACUCCAAUUAAGAGUUCUCUAAUUUAAGAAUUCCACUCCUAUUAAAACUCCUCUAAACAUAGUAUGCUUCUUCAAUUUUCUUGCAUGCUCAUUCAUAUUUUUUGGUUAACCAAAACAAGCAUCUGUUAUCUCUUUCAUCUUUCUUGUGGUGUCAAUCUUAGUUUUUAUUAUUUUCGAUUAUUUCCAAUACUAUAAUAUGUCUCUAAUUUUUUUUUCAACCCUUUUACUGAUCGACUUAAUUAACUUAUCGAGUUAAUUCCCCCACCAUCUCUCUCAGUUUCUUCUUUGUUUUUGGUUCUCUAUUGAUUUUGUUUCUUUUGUGAGCAGUUAUGGCAGAGAUUAUGUGCAGAGACUUAAGUAGAAAUCAAUCUUCUUGUGGAGAACUGGAAGUAUAUGCUUGCCGGCUUAAUUUUUCAGAUCGGUCCCCUCUGCCCCUCCUUUUUGUCACAUUUUGUUUUUCUUUUAAGGUGAUUUGGUCUUUUACUUUCUUUAUUUUUUCUCCUUUUAUUUUCUGGGCUGGCAGAUGGUUUUGAUUGUAUACAUGAUCAAUGCUUUAUUUGUAAUAACCUGGAGAAGUAAUUAACUUAAAUCUUGAAAGGGCUUUAGUGCUAUGCCUUGAUUGACUCGAGCCAGCUCGAGCUCGAUUCGAGCCGCUCGAUUCGUUUGUAGCCCUAUCCACAGGAGACCAAGUUCAUAUAUAAAGUUACUUUUGCCUCCGCAGUCCAACUUAAAAAACCUGAUCCACGGGGCCACAUUAGUCAGAAUCAUAUGGUUUUGGCAUUCGUACUAAAAGUGGAUUGGUGUGAAGAGUGUCCGCACCUUCAAGUAAGAUUAUCAAAUCGAAUGCUUAGUAUUUUUAAGUAUUUCAUUUAACAACAUUCAAUUACAUUCAUUUGUAGAAAUAUAUCAUUCCCUUUUUUAAUAUAAAAUUUUAUUUUUUUAAGAUCUAUCUUCCGAAAAAAGACAGUUCUUCAAUGAUAUACACAUUCUAUUAUAUUUUAAACUAUUGUUAAACAGAUGUUACAUUUUAAUUUUGUUGGUACAAAUUUUUCACCUUUAUUUGUUCACCAUUUUAUUUUUUUCAAUAAUGUCAGCACUGUAUGUAGCAUGGGUAUUCACGCUAGUUGCUUAUGUAUUAUAUAUAGAAAAAUGCGCAAAAAAGGUCAAGUCAUCCUAUGACCUCUAUCAACAUUUUCUGGUUGAUUUCAAUUUCUUUGUUGGAUAAAAAAGAAAGAGAGAAUAAUCAAAUAAAUUUCAAUCAUAAUUUGGUUAAAGGAGGUAAACUAAUUAAUUCAAUAUUUCACUUACCCAAUUUCCUAGUUUUUUUAAACCUUUUUCUCUAUUAUUUUUACAUGAUAAAAGGGAUAUUAGGAUUGAAUAAAAUAGGUCGAGUCAAUAUAGUUGUGUCAAAUCCUUAUGUUGAUCUUUUUAUUGCUUUAAAAUUCAUCACAUGUAGUCCAUGACAUUUUUUUGGUAAAAAGGUAAUCGAAGCUAGAAUUUUGGGAUCAAACAAGUGCAUUUUACUUUUACGAAUUAGAAAAAAUACAUCAUUUUAAAAGUGAGAGAUAAAAAUGUUAAACAAUAAAAUGGAACUAAUGUUUGGUGCACUUUUCCAUUAUAUAAUAUAGCAUUUAAAUGGUGUAUUUUUUAUAUUUGUCUAUGAUUUUACUAUAAUUUAUUAUAGAUUUUUUACAAAUACUUUUAUGUAUUUCAAAGUAUUUGAAAGAUAUUUAUAAGACUCUGUUGCUUUUCAUGCGCCAUCUACAAUGCCACUCGUCCCCAACGCAUGCGCCAACCACAACGCCACUCACCUCUUACGCAAAACUCAUCAACAACCAUCACCACUUCUCCCCUAUUCGCUGCAGUUCUUCCUCGCCAUAUCCCCUUUACUCACUUCUACCAUAUCCUCCUCUAUGCCUCCCUUUUCUUGUCUACUACCUCUAUCACACCACUCUCCAUCUGUAAUCACCUUCACCCGUUCAUCUUCUUUCCUACUGCCAUUCUUUCCUUCCUCUUCUAUUUUUUUUCCUUAUCUUCUUCUACCCCAUCUCCUUUUCCCUCACCUUUUCCCACGACCCUCAUCUUUUCUCGUGUUAGAUUCAAACUAUAUUUGGUUCAAAUAUGACAGAGGUAAAAGGUGGAGAUCGCAGAAAAAUAGGGUUAUGGGGAGACGAGAAGGGGUAGAAAGAAAAGGAGAAGAAGAACGAAGGGAAGAGGGAAGAGGUCGAGAUGAUUAGAGAGGAGAAUUGGGUGGUAGAGGAAAGGAGGAGACAAAAUGAGAAGGAAAGGGAGAGAGAAAGAAGGAAAGAAAUGAAAGAGAGGGAGUGACGGAUAAUGGAGGGGAAAGAGGUGAUAGGGUAGGAGGAGAAAAGAGAGAGAAGGAAAGGUAGCAACAAUAAUAAUAGGAUGAGGUGGAGACAGCACUGGUGGAAGUAGAAAUGAUUAGGGAUGAUGGUGAUGGAAGAGGGAACUCUGUGCGUGUUUUUGGGUAUUUUGAAACGUAUAUUUUUUUUUUUAAAUUUAAGGUGUUUUAACAAGUUCGUGUAACAAAAGUUGAAAAAAAAUUGUCUAAAACAUGCAAAAAACAAAUAUGUAAAAAUAGAGAUGCCAAACAGAUCCAUAAUUUGAAUAUUUAAUAUGUAUAAUCUAGUAAUAUACAAAGGGUAAGAUAUAAGUCCACCAACAAAGGCAAAAGAAGCAUCAAAUUAGUCUUUUUUUCCCUAAUAAAUAUCCAAUGCAUAAUUGCUAUCAUACAAAAUCUAUCACUUAUUUGUAAAUAGUCUGAAGGCCUGUUGCAUUUAAAUAUUUUUUUCAUGGGUUUUUUUGACAUAUGUACUCAUUAAUAUAUUUGAAUUAUACUCAAUUUAACAUGUAAAUAUACAUAUUGACAAUUACUGUUCUACCUUUCACAUAUUCAUUUCUCUUAUUUAAUUUUUCAAAAUAUUAAUAUUUGAACUUUAUCUUAACGAGUACCCACUUAUUCUAUUCAAUGCAACUUUUUUGAAAAAAUAAAAUACCCGAGUCACUUUUUACGAGUGCUCGGUAGGCAUCAUUUAAAUAAAACUAAUUAUGAACUGUCUAAACAAAUAUUUGUCAUUAUGAUUUACUAUCCUAUCUUUUAAGCACCAAAACUUUUCAUUCUUUCAUUCUUUUUGGAAAAAAAAAGGUGUAAAUUCAGACCUUGCUUAUCAAUGUUUGCAUUGGAGAGGAUAGCCAGGCACAUAAUUUUCAUAUUAGAGAGGAUCUCGUGGUAACUUUCCUAGUACUAAAUUAUUAUUAUUUUUAAAAUUUUCUAUUGCAUGAUAAGCAGACAUUUUGUCAUUUUUAAUUAUACUUUUAUUUUUUAUUAUUUUUUAUCUUACAUACAUUACAUUAUCAGAAUCCUAAAUUUUUGUUUCUUGAAUAAUUUUAUAUCCAAACAAUAUAUUAUUUUAUUUUUAGUAAAAUUUUUUCCAAAAUUGUGAAGGCCAUUACUUUCUACCAACUUAACCAAGUUUGUGCUCGCAAGUUUGAGUAUAUGUAUAUAUAUAUAUAUAUAUAUAUAUUUUACUAGUAAAAUUACAUAUAUUCCUAAUAUUUUAUUAUUUAUUAAAAAUAUUUUUUUUAUUUUUUAAAAAAUAAAACAAUUAUUUUUAAAAAUAAAAAUUAUUAUAUUUCAAGCUCGAUCUCGACUCAAAUUUGAUGGGGGUGUUUUUCAAAAACUAGUUUUUCAAAUACAAUAAAAUUUUUUAAAAAGUACUCUAAAAGGUAAUUUAAAAAUUAGUUUAAAUUUUUUUAAAAUUUCUAAAAAAUUCUCAAAAUAUAUAGUAGAAACUCUUCUACUAUUGGAUUAGCUGUUUUUGAAAAACUUUGCUGUAGUUUUUAGAGUAUAUUUUGGAAUAUUUUUAGAAAAUAUUUUGAGAUAUUUAAGAGCAAAAGAGUUUCUAGAAUAUAUUUUGAGAUAUUUUUUAAAAAUUUAAACUAAUUUUUAGAUUACCUUUUAGAGUAAUUUUUAAAAAUUUUUAUUGUAUUUGAAAAACUAGUUUUUAAAAAACACUCCAAAAAAGGUGAUCCAAACAGAGCCUCUAUUAUAGCAAAAUUUUUUAAAAAUAUCUUCAAAAAUAAUUAAUUCAAACGAAAAAAAUUAAGUCAAAACUCCGCUCGACUCUAUUCAUUUGCAAUUUGCAGCACUACUUCGGACACAGGAGGAGCAGGUGGACAACGACCAGCCUAUUGGAAAGUCACCAAGACGCCAACACAGACGUGUCUUCCAACGGUUUCCUUUCCCAAGUCUCAAACUCCAACAAACAACGCCCAAAGUAGUCCCCACCGCCCCGCUUGUUUUUCCCCCCUUUUCUGAUUUCUUUCCCCGCAAAGAAUCCUUAUCAAAUGUUAAAGAAGAAUAGAAGAUAAAAAGAAAACAAAGAAAGCUAAAGGAGAAGCGUAUUGGCAAACUACUCCUUCCUUCCCCUUCACCUAUCUUUCCCUUUCUCGAUUUAUUCCAUUUUCCCAUAAACAAAAGAAACCCCCCACUUACCACCCACAUUCACUUUUCACAUUCCCUCAUCCUUUUUUUAACGCAACCAAGAUGUACGCUAUUGGAUAUCAAGAGCAUUGUUGAGUCUUUUAUCAAAGGAUAAACAUCGACUAGAUACAGGGCCUUUUUUCUUGUUCCCUGUUUUAGUCAUUAGCGUUAAUCAAUGGCAGAAUCAUCAGACAAUCACUAUGGCCCUGCUGCGAAGAGUAGUAGUUCAGGGGAAGUUGACGUGGACCAUGAAGUGGAAAUUGUUGAAGAAAAUGGAAAAGCUAGCAGCAAUGUAAAUGCAUCACCCCGGUACAAGGAUAGCAUUGGCGAUCAUUCUUUGAGUUCCGCAGGUUCUUUCUUCUAUUUUUGCCAAAAGGGCUACUUUUAAAUUCGUAGGAAGCAUUUUUUUUUCCAGGGCCAUUUUGUAUUUCUGAUCAUAUAUGCUGGUUUAAGAUUUUAGAGUGUCCUAAUUUAGUGAGUAUGAAUAAGAACAGGUGAAUCUGUGAACCGUUACGAUUUUUAUUUUUGUUUCUGCCAGUGAUAUGCAUGUAAUCCCAUUGAUUCCGAUGGUUGCGAAAAAAGUGUUCUGCAAAGCUUAUGACAGUGGUGCAAUUGUCAAAACCCCUGUCCCUUAAGUAUGGUUUGAGUUUUGACAGGGAUGAUCAGUCCUAAAUAAUAAACUGAGAUCACUAGGUAUGGCAGUUUGUAGGUCGUCAAGUAGCUAUUGAUACUGUAAAAUGUGUCAGAUAGUUAUUGUUCCGCAUGUACAUGUGCAUCAUCAUGUAUUGGGUCAUUGGUUUUUGAUAGUUUUAGUGUUUGGAAGAGUAAUUUCUUGGAGAACGAUACAGAUCGCAGCUUUCUGUGAUAGGAAUCAUAUCAUCUAGUCAAGAGGUGUUCCCAGUGGCCUUGAAUUAUUAAAUUGUCUCUUCGGCAACAAUGAUAUGUUUAGGAAGUUUCUUUUAUUCUUUCAACAAGCAAAAACGGAUUGCUGGAAAACUUAGUGUUAGCACGAUGAUACAAGGUGAUCGUAAAUGAGGUCUAUUAAGCAACACGAUGAAGAAUUGAAAGUGAUUCUAAUACAACAUAUUCAUAGAAAUAGGUUUUUGGAAGCACUAAUUCAUUAUUCAACUCAGCUUCCUCACUUGAUCAAGAAAUUUUAUGCUUGUUUUGUUGGAUUUUGUACAUUUCACUGUGCGAAUUUAGCAUAUUGUCUAAACUUAUGCACUCUAAUUAGCCCCGAUUUUCUGAUUACAUUUUGGUUUCUUAAGCUGAUCCAGUGACCACACUAAGCCACUGUUUGCAUUCUUAUUUUGCUCGAUGUUAUCUGGUUUUCCCCAGGAUCCACUGCCAAGAAUUUGCCUGAGCAGAAUCUUGCAUCUGUUGGAGACUCAGCAGUGGAAAAUGUUAACCCUACUUCCAGUCAACUUAGCCGAGCUACAAAGCUUGGAAAGAAUAAUGGUCUUGGAUAUUUGGCCUUGAAGCUUUUUGAUGAAAGAUUUCCUCUAAAGAAAAAGGUUGGUAUAACCUGAUAACUGUAGCUUGUAUUCCUCAAUUGAUUUUUUUUAAGAGGCCCCUGUACUUUCCUUUAUAAUUUCUAGUCUAAUUAAGGAUAAACUUCCGGGCACUAGUUGUUUUUUGAUUGAGUUAUCUUGUACUUCUUCAGGUGGUUAUUUAAGAAAAUUGAAAGUAUGAUGGACUAAUAAAUAAGGACAGGGAGAGUGGUGACAUGAAAUGCUUAAAAUGGAUAGUAUAGUAAGAGGAAAGUUGAAUAGAAAGAGCAAAAUAGAAAAGAAAAGGCAAAGUACAUUAGCAGUUGGAGGAGGGACUAUGAUCUAAGCAAGUUUGAAAGGAAAGUUAUGGGAACCAUAUUUCUAAUUAUUUUUUUUCUAAUUAAUAAAUCCUGUUUUCUCUUAUAAGUUCUAUUAGAUCUUUUUUUCUUUCUUCCUUGUUUUAACUUGUGUAUCCAUGUGCCACUUGGUAGUUUGUUAUCAAGGAUUGACCUUUAUGUUCCAGAUACAUAUUUCUUUUCCUGGAAGAAUAUACCCUCAAAUUGUAUUUGAGCAUCUUCAUUCCUUAUUGCCUCAGUUGUAUGAGUAACAUGCAUGUUUAGGGAGAAGUGGUGGGGGUAAUCUCCAAUAGGAAACAAUUCUUUCAUGAAAUAAGCUGAUCAUAUAGGUACUUAUACAUGAAAAUAGUCCUGAGGUUGAAUAUCUUGAGGUGAGAACCAUGAUACUUAAAGUACAUGACUAAUUAACCUAGCUCAUAAAUGGGGCUUUAGAUAGAUUUGUAAGAGUACAAGUAGGUAACUAGAUUGGACUCAGCAGCCAGAAUCGGUCUAAAUUUCCUUCAAUGACAAGGAUUACUGUUCCCUUGACUCCUAUAAGUUAAAACCAAUUAUGUCGAGAGUUGACGAGUUGAUUGUUUCAUGUUAACAAUAGAUAAAGGUUAGUAAAGACUCUUAUAAUCACAAUGGACAUCCCUUCUUUCCAUACGAAGAGUCUUCUUGCUUGGAAAGGGCCCUAUGGCCUGUCCCUUUGGAUCCAAAGGCUAUAUUUUUCUUCACCAUUUAAUGGCCUUUCUGCAAAUAUUAUUACCUCUUUCUCCAUUAAAAAAAACAUUUUUUUUUUCUGAACCCACAUUGUAAUGGUUAUCAUGCAGCUCAAGUUGCUGAACCGAUUUGCAUCUGUUCAAGAUGAUGGAACCGUGCAAUUUGAAGUUCCUGGAAACAUUAAACCCCAAGCUCUUGAUUUAGGUACUGGAGUUAUGUAUGAUGGAUCUAGAGUGGAAGAAUCUACCGGUGCAGGAGAUAUACAAGACCUACCUCCAUUGCAAAUUGUUAUGCUUAUAGUUGGGACACGUGGAGAUGUACAACCCUUUGUUGCCAUUGGGAAACGUUUACAGGUAAGUUGUUUCUUUUGAAUUAGAACAGGAAUAUACAUCACAGACACAUUUUGUAAUUUUGACGACUUCCUUUUGAAAAAUAUCGGGGCCUCAAUCAUGAAUUUAACCUUCUGAGCGCUGCGCUAUGUGCCUACCUCUUUGAUUGUGUCUUCUGGCAGGAGGAUGGCCAUAGAGUGAGACUAGCAAGCCAUUCUAAUUUUAAAGAGUUUGUUUUGGCUGCUGGAUUGGAGUUUUACCCUCUUGGUGGAGAUCCAAAAGUUCUUGCUGGUUGUAAGUAUAUCAUUGACAUUGGGUGAUAUCAUGAUCAUCUUCUGAAAAGAUUUUUCCUUGUCUGUUUUUUCUUUAUCAUAUACUAAAAUGACAUCUAGGCAUAUUUAUACAUGAAGAGGAAAUAAGUAGGUUAAAAACAGUUUGAUUAUAAGUAUGAUUUCCAUCCAUUUGCUUUGGUUCCAUUAAAGCCAUAGUUUAGUGUGGCUCAGUCAUGGAAUCAGAUGUAGCAUGAAUACGUUAAAAAAAUGCCAACAAAGUGGGGUUGGAAGGUGGGAUAGAAGAUUGAUCCUAUGUGAUAUAGAUUCCCAUAAUCAGUUAAGUAAAUUGAACCAAUAAAGGCAUUCUUAUGGAGUCUAGGUUUUGGUCAUCUUUUGCAUUUCCAAUCACAAGGAUAAGUUUCUCUUGAUAAAUAAUUAGGAGGUUUGUUCUCCUCAUGCGAUGCAAUUGGUUCAGUGCAGGUCUGUUGAUUAUUAUUUUUCAUUGCUUUUAGAAUCCAACUGGAGUAACUUUUAGCCCAAUCCCAUUUUGUUCUGUGAAAAUAUAGUUUGGUGAUUUUGAAUAAGGAGUGGAGUGUGUUCUGUGUAUGGUUAAGUCAGAUAAUGAGAUGAAUUAUAAUCUUGUACUAAAUUGUGAGAUGCUAGGACUUUUGGGAUAAUUUAUUUAGUUUUCUUGGGAUACUUUGUAUCAGUUAAAUCUUGGGUCCUGUGGCAGAGGAAUCACAGAAAAACCUGUAGCAAUGUGCUGGUUGUUUUGUUUUCUGGGAAAAUUCUGUGGUAGGUUGCAAUCUUUAGGGUGGUAUGAUGAUAGUAGAAUAAUAGGAUCUUUACACAUUGAACACUGCCUUUGGGUUUUCUUGCCAACGAGCAAUGUUUAUUUAUGAAUUGUCUUAUAGUUCUUAUGUAGCUUUUGACUUUUUUUUUUAAUAUGAUUAGUGUACCUCUUAGUUGUGUCACUUCUCCACAAUUGUACAAUUACAUAUUAUGUAGGUAAUUUGUAAAUGCAGAGAUGGUCACUAUAGUUAAACUUGAGUGCAUUUCUGAAAAAGUUGUUGCCGCUGUUUGAUGUUCUUUUCCCUUUUUCAUUGUAUAGUUUUUUUUUCUGAAUAUUCAAUUGAUGAUCGGGGAUUCAAUCUGUUGUUUGGUUAUUGCUGAUGUGUAUUGCAGACAUGGUGAAGAACAAAGGAUUCUUGCCUUCUGGGCCUUCUGAAAUUCAUAUUCAGCGAAAUCAAAUUAAAGAAAUUAUAUUCUCUUUACUUCCUGCAUGCAUGGAUUAUGAUCGAGAAACAAAAGUUCCAUUCAAUCCAGAUGCUAUAAUUGCAAAUCCCCCUGCUUACGGUAAUAAUGUCUUCUAAAUUAUCUUGGUCCUUGCUCCUUUAUCUCCUUCCAUUCAUGUCACAUUCUAACAGAAGAUUAAGAAAAUAUAAUUGCAUGAUUGUCACCGAUAAAUUGCGCAUUCUUAACUGACGUUAAGGAAUUCCUGUGUCUAGAUAGUGUUUUUGCUCAACAUUAUGAUCUUUUCUUGGAUUGUGCUUUUCUGCUCCAAUAUUGUUUUAUUUGGAAUUUCUGUGAUUCGUGUUUGAUAUGCACAAAGGACUUGUUAUUGAGUUGGAUCAAUGUAACAUUGUCUACAAACAUGUUGAUAGUUCUCCUUCAACUAUUCAGUUCUAUUUCAGGACAUAAGCAUGUUGCAGAGGCACUAAAAGUACCACUUCAUAUAAUUUUCACAAUGCCUUGGACGUGAGUUUUAUCGACUCUUCUUUCUUUAACUCUUACCUUUCUGUACAUCCUAAUUUAAUGUGUAUUAGGGUUAUUUUGGUAUUGUCCGGUCCCCUAUGCACUUAUAUCAUACUGUAGCAAGAUGAUGGAUGCUUUUUAUUAUGUUUGACUUCUGCAGGCCAACUAGUGAGUUUCCACAUCCUCUAUCUCGUGUGAAGCAAUCAGUUGGAUAUAGAGUAAGCACAGUUUGAUGCUCUUUUGUCAUCUUUUAUUUUGUUUAUCUUUGUCUGUUUGGUUAUAAGUAUUUUAGAUGUGGAAAGUCGGAUACUUUUUCUGCAGCUAUCAUAUCAGGUUGUUGAUGGACUAAUAUGGCUUGGGAUACGGGAUGUGAUAAAUGAUUUUAGAAAGAAAAAACUGAAGCUAAGGCCUGUCACAUACUUAAGGGGUUCUUACAGUUCACCGCUUGAUGUGCCUUAUGCAUAUAUUUGGAGUCCAGAUCUCGUCCCAAAACCAAAAGGUCAUUCUCUGAAUCUAUCUUCUAACAUCCAAGUUCUUAAUUAUUUUAUGCAACUUUAUCUUGUAGGCAGCUAUUACUUGGGCAUUGGUAGAGCAAUUGGAAUUGUUUGUUCUGUUUCUUGUCAAUGACAACUGUCCUGUUUACCCCUGCUGAAUGCUAUUUUGAGAAAUUUAUAAAAAAUUUAUAAAGUUUUGGCUCAAAAUUGAAGCUUGCUCAAUCUACAAUCUGAAAUACCUAAAUAAGUACACCUUAAACAAGAGAAAGAGCAAGGCACAGGACCAAGAAUUCACAAUUGGCUUGAAGUAAAAAUUCCACUGUUAAUCCAGGUGAGAGGAUAUGUAUGGCUUCAAGGCAUUAAAAAAAAGCUAAAAAAUUCAAGUAUUUGCAGCAUCAACUUUACUCUAUGGACCCACCCGAAUAAUGUCACUAAUAGAAAAUUUUAGUUGCUUAUCAUACAGCAAAAUCAAGAGAGAGUAGCCAUGAGACCUGCAAAAUCCAGAUCAGUAGUUCUAGAAAAGUUUGAAUGAUUUGAAUGUCUUGAAUAUCUUUGAUAUUUUGGAAUGGCUUUACCUGCAAUUUCCUUAGCUUUGUUAUUAGCAUUAUGUUGCAUCUACAACCAAAGUUGCUGGAUGCGAAAUUGAAAGACUUACUGUUGAUGUGCUAAAAAUGAUGUGUAUUCAAAUAAUUCAAUGUUUGAAAGUUAUUUAACACAUUAUAUUUGGCUCUCAUUGCUUCUUUUUGCUCUUUUCUAUACUGUAUGCUUUAUCUUGUUCCUAUUGGAUAAAAUACAAUUGGACUCAGAUAACUCUUUUAUGAUAUUUUUGUUAUAGUCCAUUAUUGAAGGAAGUUGUCAUUGCUUUUAGUUUCUUGCAUUCUUGUUGGGGAAGUCUAAAGAGGCACAACAACAGAAGCUGCUAUUGCAUUAAAGUUAUUCUGAUUUGUUUUGUGUGUCUUGCAGAUUGGGGACCCAAAGUUGAUGUAGUUGGCUUUUGUUUCCUAGACCUUGCAUCAAAUUAUGUUCCACCUGAUUCACUUGUAAAAUGGCUUGAUGAUGGUGAAAAGCCUAUUUAUAUUGGCUUUGGCAGUCUUGUGAGUUCUAUUUCUAAUCAUUAUAUAUUCUUUUAUCGCAUCGUCUGAUGGCUAUUUUUUUAAUUUCAUUUUAGUUUAUAUUUGUUGGUAAUGUGUACAUAAAAAUACUUGAGAUGAACCUAUAAAAGGUUGUUAUUUUCUUGACCACCCAAUAAGUACUCUUAGAUUGCCCAAAGUACGAAAUUGAUGUCUAGAGUCAGUGAUCAACUAGGGAACUUACUAGCACUCUCAAUCCUGACAUUAUAGUAGAUUAAUACAUGAUCUGUACAAGAGACAGCUGCUUCUUAAUCGUAAAAUACUUGCACAAAUAGCUAUAUCAAAUAGGAAUUGUCUUUAUAAGAUUUCCAAUGAGUUUUAUAUAUAUAAAGAAGUCGAUUGUAAAGAAUCCAGUGGAAUAAUUUAAACAGACUUGUGCUGGAGUUCAUUCUCUGGGAAAGCAGAGUCAAAAUUACUAUAAUAAAAAAUGCUAAAGUAGUCAAAAUAAAUGAAUGCGUUCAAGAAAAAAAAUGAAUUGGAGAAAGCUUUUUUUUUCGAAAAGGAGGUCUACUUUCCUUCUUUGGCUGCAUUUCAGAAGAGUAAGGCUACUUUAAUUUAACAUAGCUGUCUGUCUAGAGUGGCACAGUGGGUUGAAUAAGAGCACAUUUAUUGAUGCUGCACGACUGCUUAGUGAGUGAAUUUACUGCAAUGACGAUGUGGGGCUCAUUCUAAUGCAUGACUAUUUGUUCUCAAACCUUUUUGAAAAGCGAUGUGGGGCUUAGGUUCUUAAAACUGCCCAUUGCUGUGAUUCAGUAUUGACAAGAGCCCUGGAACUUGGAAGGGGCUUUACAGGAGCCCAUGACACAAAUUGAAGUGGCCAAUGAGUCCAUGAAACUGGAAAGUGCCUCAGAUUAGUUCAUGUAAAAGCUGGAAGGGGCUUGACAUGAACAUGAUGAGCUGAAGUUGCUAGUAAGGCCUCGUUGAGUUAUAAGUUAAGAAACAGCAGAACCCUCGAGAGGAAUGAAUCUGCAAGGGAAAAUUCCGAAUCAGUUGUAGACUUGUGGACAAAGAGUUUAACUAACACCCAGCUCUGAUACCUUGUUAACAAGCCCACUCAAAGCCAAUUGAUAAUAAGUGGAUUGGCACAAGACCUAAUUAACUCGUCUUAAACCCUCGGAAUAAUGUGGGUCCUAGUCUCUAAACAAGGACAAACACUGGGUACUAAAUUUUCUCAUUUCAAAAUUUUCUGAGUCUCCUUUAAUAUGAGCUUAAAGUCACAAGCAAGUCCUCCAGCUUCUAGUCUACUCAUAAAAUGUUGAUUCAUCUUGGAGGAAUAUGAGUCAUUUGUUCAAGCAUUCUGAAGAUGCUGAAAUUUCCAAUAUAUACUUAAGUAGCUUUCAGCUUGUGCCUUUUUUCCCCAAGUUUGUUUUAUAAGAGGUUGUCCUUUACUUUUUAAACUUUGUCAACACACAUACACACACAUAUAUUGAGAACAAUUACAUAUCCAUAUCAGCUUCAUAGAGCUUAAUUCUCUCCUGUUUUGAUCAUUUUUAUUUUAUUUUUUUGGUACAGCCUGUACAAGAACCAGAAAAAAUGACUGAGAUAAUUGUUCAAGCUUUGGAAAUGACAGGACAAAGAGGCAUCAUCAACAAAGGCUGGGGUGGUCUUGGAAACUGUAUGUUGUUGCCUUAUAGUUUUUAUUUAUUUUUUUAAUUUGGGCUAUAUGUAUCCACCUUUUGGUUUACCCUAGUCAUUUGAUAUCUUUAUCCUGGGUACAUUAGCCCUUUUCUUUUGUCCUCCAUAAUCUUACCAACUCUUUCUUCUUUUUUCACUUAUUUUCAUUUCAGUGAAAGAACCAAAAGACUUCGUGUACUUGUUGGACAAUUGCCCUCAUGAUUGGUUGUUUGUACGAUGCGCAGCUGUGGUAAAUCUUCUUUGUAGUUGCUCAGUAUUUGAUCUUGUUAAAGUUGGAAGAGCAUUCAUCUGUGGAAAACUUGUAUAUAUAGCUUGUUUGGUAAUAUGAGAUUACAUUCGGCAUGAUGACACUAACUCAUGGUUUCAACUGAUCAGAGUCCUCAUGCUAGGCAUCAUCCCUGUAAUUGCUUAUGCUACAUAGUUUUGAAAUUCUUGUGUCAGGAAUUGUUGUUAAGGCUAGCUCUUUUAGUACAGCAUGGAACGUGAUUGAUAAUAUUGCUGCCUUGCAUUUGUACAACUUCAGCUGUUUGUUGGAUUUUCAUUUGCUGAGACGUGACUCCGUAGUACUGGUGGUUUUUAGUGCCUGUUCUUUUGUUUUUAAUAAUCUAAAAGCUGUUCUGCAAUGAUUUUAUUUUCUUUGGCUCCAGUUUUUAGUUUAUUCCAAGCUGGAAAAUGUUGAUUCUUAGAAGCAGUCCUUGAGAUGCCUUGGCUUUCUCAAAACAAAAAUAUUGAUUCAAUUCACUAAACAGCUUUUCCAAUGAUCACUGUCAUUAAGAAGCUUCAGAAAAGCCGAAGCAAAUGAAUUAAUGCCCUAAUCUUCUCUUGUUACAUUCCCUGCUCAUAAAUGUAGUCUUACCUGUACUGCUAGUUAAUAAACAACUUUUGGAAAGUUGAGUCUAGUUUAAGUUUACGUUGUAGAAUAUUUUUUUUCCAUAUAUGGAGCUCUCUUACAAUUGCUACCUUGUAUUCUGUUUUUGCACAAUCUUCAGGUGCAUCAUGGAGGGGCAGGAACAACAGCAGCUGGUCUUAAAGCUGCGGUAAUUCCUGUGCUAUAUACCAGUUGUAGUUUUUUGCUUUUGGAGCUUACUCAUUUCUUCCUUAAUAAUACAACCUCUAGUGCCCCACAACUGUUGUACCAUUCUUUGGAGACCAACCAUUUUGGGGAGACCGUGUUCAUGCCAGGGGAGUUGGUCCUGCACCCAUUCCUGUGGAUGAGUUUUCACUUGAAAAGUUAGUUGCUGCAAUCAAUUUCAUGCUGGAUCCAAUGGUAAUGAGAAAUUCAACCAUAAUGAUUGAGUUGCAUGGUUUAAUGCCUGUGCUCUGUAGAAUGUUCUUUAUCUGUUUCCUUUUUUUUUUUUUCUCUUUAAGGGAUCUUUUUUUUCCUCGAACAUGAAUGAAGUUUUUAGUAUAUUGUUUAAUAAAUGUGAUCCAUAUCAUAUGCAUCAGGGAUCUGUGAUACCCAAGCCUCACUUACUACACAAACAACAAUAGUUAAAGAGUAGUUGGCAUAUUAUGUACCAUCUCUUUUUUCUUCCAAAGUUUCCUCUUAUAGUUGUCUUAAAGGAUCUAGGGUCAAUUAUGGCACAUCAUUGAUUCCAUAUUCAAAGACUUCAUUCUUGUGCUUUUGAGUAUGAUUUUUCAGCCUGAAGUUCUGUUUAGAAGUAUUUUUUUUCCCGAUUUUUCAGCCUGAAGUUCUAUAUUGGAAGGUGUUUAAGUGAAGUGUAGGAUGGGUUUAUAUUUAUAGUAGAUGAUUUAAAUGCACUCAUUUGAGAUUAUCUGCUUGGUUGAAGGCAAUUGUCUAUUUAAUUUGAUAGCUUCAAUGAAAAUUGAUUGCCUUGUAUUUGGAUAUGAGGGGUUAUUUUGGAUGCAAAUUAUGUAAAUAUUGUGAAAAAAAUUUGUUAUACUGGCUAAUGGUUGUGAUGUUCAACUUCAAAAUCUGGCAUGUCAUCACUUGUUUAAAAAAGGUGAUAAUUCAGCAGAAUAAAUUAUUGUAUGAAUUGGAACCACAGAUAUCUUGAGUGGUACAUUAGUUUUUAGGAUUCUGUUAAAAGAGAAAUAGCGUUGGAUAAACAAAAAAUGAAUAAAGUUCUAAGAAAUACACAAGUUAGCUAUUUUCUUUCCUUGUGUGUGCAUGCUAUGAAACUUUCUGAUGAUGAAUAGACAAGGCUAGUUAUUUCCCUUAUUGAUGUGUACAUGCUACGAAAUUGCAGAUGAUGGUACACGUGCUAACUGCAAGUGUAUUUUAACUUAAGAGUGUAUUGAUGUCAUUUUUUUGGUUGAUUCAUGUUGCUUGGCAACUGUAAUUAUAGUGCUCAUGUUGCCUAUGUGAAAUUCGACAUCCAACUUGUCUACUUUGGUUCUUUACAUGGAGAAAGAAAUUCAACAUGACACUGAAAUUUAGAUGUCUUGUGACUACGGAUAACCCAAAAAACAUGCAUAAUAUGCCCUUAAAAUAGUUACAUACAUUAAACCAUGGGAUAAUAGAAUUACAGGCUGAAAUAGUCAGACUUAAAUUGUAAUUUUUGACACACGUCCUACCAAGUGUCCUUCUGAGUCACGGGUCCUCGCAAAAGAAUAAACAAAAUUUGCUGUUAGCUCACUUUGCUUUUCCCAUACCCUUGCCAAAAUUCACCUUGAUCAUCAUUUUCCCAUUACAACAUCUUUGUCUGGUAAGAAGGAGAAUCAGAGGACAGCAGAAAGGGACUUAGAGUAAAAGAGAGUUUCAUUUCCAUUUUCUUGAGGAUAGGGAGAUAGCCAGAGGGGAGCUGUGCCGCCAUGGGCCUUACUGCUGAAGAAAAGGGAGAGGAUGGAAGAUAUGGUAUCUCCCGCCACAAAUUUUCCUCUAAAAGCUAUAAACUGAUCCAAGAUGGGAUUUUCAUUUUCUUGAAUUACUUCUAAAAGACCAUUUCAUGCCUAAAUCAUUGAGCUUGUGAGGUUGAGCGUUAACUAGAUUUUCAGAGGUUACGGUGUUAAAACCUGAAACGAUGAACAUUUCUCCAGUUUUAAAUAUUCAAGGAAGUUGAUACUUGUCAUCCUGUUUGUCACGUGUACAAGAACAGUGUAAACUGGUGAACUGCUUGUGUAUGUUAUUUCUAGUAAAAGAUAAGCAGUCUUUUCUCUUGUUGAAUUGGAGUUGGAUUAUGUUGGAAAUUAUGGCUUCUCUGCAUGAUUUCAUGUUUUAAUUGGUGGAAAUGGAAGGAGACGUUUAUGCAUGAUGCUGCUGCCUUAUCAAAUAGUGUCAGGCAUACUUUUGUUUUGUCUCUGGCUGACUACAAAACAUGGGGUCUAAAAAUCUCCAUUCAGAAUUAAAUGUUUUUAUAUGUUAUUGUUACCUAGAUGAAUAAUUUUCCUCUGUUACCAGGACGAGAUGUUUUUACUGACCAAGUAGUAGAGCUUAAUUAAGGGGAAGUUGCAUACUGCCUAGCAGCACAUUGGAUAUUGACGCUGCGUGUAGUUGCACCAUACGCGUGGAUGUGUUAAGCAGUAUAAAUUUUUACUGGAGAUUACUUUAAGCUGAAGUUGGGACAAGAAAAACUGUCUGUCUGUACUGCUUUUAGAAAGAAGAUGUCAUAAACAAGUACUUGAUGCUAAAAGCUUAGUUUAAUAUUAGAACAUAGUCCAAGAAUUUUUCUUGGUUGUCUAUCUUUGCGAGGCAAUAAAGAGAAUUUAAUCACCCACUUCUUGCAGGUUAAACAACGUGCUGUCGAACUAGCAAAGGCAAUGGAAAAUGAGGAUGGGGUAACAGGAGCUGUUAAAGCUUUUUACAAACAUUUCCCUCGUAGGAAAUUGGAGGCCGAGCCUGAGGAACCACGAAAAUCCAAUUUGUUUUCUCUUCGAGGCUGUUUUGGUUACUCGAAGUCCAUCAGAUGAACCUUCAUGAGUCUAAAGGUGGACUAUAUUCUGCUUCAGUUCCUCCUAUAAAUUUUUAGUGAGUGCACUUUGCGGCUUCCAGUCACUUCUAGAUGGAAGUUGAAUGCGGACAGAUUACAUGCACACCAUCAAUGAAGAAAAGAAAGGAAAGCAAGAGAAUGAGAGAGAGAGCAAGUGGGAAAUACCUGGAAGUGAAAUAUUGUAACGUCUUUGCGAUUUUUGGUGCGACUUCAAUAAAUCAAGAACGUCUUUUAGGUGUAGAGAAUGAAUUGGUUUAUCUGGGUGUACCUCUUUGUAUAUGUAAUGUGUAACAUAUUGAUAUUCGUGAACAGUUCAAACAAUGGAAAUGUUUGGAUACUUGUUUUGACAGUGCAGUCUCUCUCCUUUGCUACCAUUUGGGGGAGAAUGAUAGUUUUGCUUCUGUUGUUGCUGGGGAUGUGGCUUUUGGAUGUUUGUCUGUCGAAAAUGCCUUCCUAGCCUAAUUGCUGCAAGUUAACAUCUCUGAAGUGGCAGGCAUAUACGUUCUCAAUGCAAGCAAAUGCUCCAUGGUGAAAUAGUCUGAAAAGGUGGCAGCUACAAUUGAGGAAGUCGAGCUCGAUAGUGGAUUUUGAAAAAAUGCCACCAACAUGAAGCCUAGGGCGCAAAGCAUUCAUAGGCCUUAGGAAGUUCAAGCAAUAGAUGAACAGCAUAAAUCCUUAAAUUGGUGCUUGUCUGUUGUUUGAGUUGUAGGCAGGUUUUCUUUUUUCCUUCUUGGGUUUUUGGCCUGGAUGACAAGGUCGGAGGUUCUAACGGCACAUUUGACAUGAUUUUGACGAUUAGAAGUGGAUAGUUUAGCAAAUUUUUUGCUAGGUUUGAUGCACAGCUAUGAAGGAAGAUGAGCAUCAAAGGGAAGGCGAAGGAACAUGGAAUUAGGUAUUCCAGAGGGCAAUGUUGCUGUCUCUGCCUAUUUUCGUUCAGGCUCCAACUUUUUAUGUGUUAAUUUUAUUUUGUACUUUUUAAUUAUACGUCGAUUGUCACUUUGGUUUCUAAACUUUAAAUUGAAGCGUUUUAAUAAUUAAUGUAUAAAAUCUGUUCCACUUUAGUUCUUAAAGUAUAAAAUUUGUUCCAUUUAAGUAUAAAAUCCGUCUCACUCCCGUCAACGAUUUUACUUAAACGAGACAAAUUUUACUAUAUUUUAGGGACUAAAAUAUCUUAUUUUAAAGUUUAUAAACCAACGUGUGAAAAUUUAGAUACAGUUAAAUGAUGCAAAAUGAAAUUAAUCCUUUUCUAUUCCCUCACUCAUAGACACAGCAAAAGGGGAUGACACUUUUUUCAAUUUUUCUAUUCAGCAAUAUUUUCCAAGAUUGUAUAGACCACUAGUGUUGAUGUUACUCCAGAUAUUAAUGGGUGACAAUUAAAAAUGGAGGAAAUUCUGAAGCCAGCCCAUCACUCGUAACAUCUUCUGUUACAAUAGCAAGUUGUCUGAUUGGUAUUAUGUUUCAUCUUAUGUUCUUGAAUUGUACCAAAUUAGGCGAUCUUUUUUGGUUGUGAGGAUGGAUUCCUGUCUCAAGCAGCUAGUCCUAGCAGUUUGUUUGUUGAGGACAUAAUCCUGUAGUUUUCUUCUUAGAUGCAGUUCUCCAAUGGACUUUGAAGGAUUUUCAACUAGAUGCUUUGUUCACCUCUACAAGGAAAUGGAGUGAAAAGGCAGUAGUGCACCAACAGCAUAAAAUCUUUCGUUUUGUUUGUCUGUUACUUGACUCGUGGGCAAGAAUGCAGCAGGCUCUGUUUUCCUUUCCUUUUUUUUCUUAAAGUUUUUUGCUUCGAUUGUGGGUUCGAAGGCCCCAAGUGAGAGAUCCAAACGUGUAUUCUUUGCGCUCAGAAGUUUUUCAGAACUUUGGGUGAUGAAACGUGAGUCUGUAGAAAUAUAGAGCAAAGAAGCUUGGGGCAGCGGUAGAUAAACUGAGGAAAAAUAACGAUCCUGGCGAAGCAAAUGGAGGAUUGAUCGACCUAAAUAAGCUAUUGUUAGAUGAAUUGAUACAAAUACUAGCUGACUGGAGAAAACAAGAGGUUUUUUCGUUCAUCAAAAUCUAGAUACAAGAUUUACAACUACAAAGGCUUCAAAAGCCAUCAUACUGCAUAGACUUUCUGCAUUUGGUGAUGGACUUGGCAGCAGUCACAACUCUUUUCCACCUUCCCUUGACAUUAUCACGCUUGCUGCGCAACUAAUGAUGCCAUUGGAUUGGAUUUAGGCGUGAGAGAGAUGGGGAACAUAGCCUUUCUCAGCCAGAAAUUGGUUCGCCUCGAAAACACCAUACGUUGCAAACGUACACAAGCAGAGCAAAGGUAGCCUUUUCUCAUCCGGUACUUGAUUCACCACUUAAUAUGCGAUUUGAUGUUGCAGCCACGAACAUUUGGAGACUAGGAAACAGAAGGGGAAACUUCACUUUUCUGAUCGGGUGCUGUGCUGAUAUCUGAAACGUUCACUGAAGAAUCGCUUCUCACCGCCGGUAUCUCCAAUGUGGGGACUAUAGGAGGCCUCAUCCUCCUUGUAACGGUCAUCUUCAAGCCUUGUGUUGUGUGUAUUGUUGCCCCUGUAGUCAUUUGAACCUGCAGACAACUCAAUUCAUGUAAACAUGUAUUUGAUUCAACUUCACAAAUUGAGAGUGGAUGAUCAGAUAAACUUCCAAGCAAAUGGAGUUCGAUUCUUAGCAACAUCCAGUUAUUGUGCUUCCGAAUACAGAAUUGAAUCUCUGUGAAGUUGCAAAAGAGAACUCAAUAUAACUUACAGGAGGAGCUCCAACUGCCAUUUGAAAAUUGAAGCGUUGAACAAGCAUUGAAACUGCAACUAUGGUCUGUUGAUUAAAGAAACAUCGAGAUUACAACCAAAAUACAGGUAUAGUUUUAAAAAAACAGAGAUAGCAGGGCUCCAUCAGGUAAAGAAAUCAUGUAUCGUGCUGUCAAUAUCAUCUACUGACUUACAAGUGAAGUACUUGACUAAAAGAUUACCUCAAAGGAAGCAAACAUGUCUCCAACACACUUUCUUGGUCCCCCUCCAAAUGGCAAGUAGCUGAAACCGUAAUAACAUGAGAAAAUAAUUCUAGCUUCUCAAAACACGGUAUGUAUGCAUUUAAUGAGAAGCAGAAAAAAGUUGCUAAGAAUAAAUUGACAGAAACUAACAGCAUACCAUUUUAGUAGCCAUUAAAAUACCAGACAAAAGUCUCUUUAUCAGGUAUAAUUAAUUACAAAGCUUUCAAUUUUUUCUCUCCUAAGUCCUGAGAGAUAUUCAUUCCAGAAUUCCAACUAAACCAAUUUCAGGGCAAUUGAUCCACUACUGGUUGAUGUGAAUUACCUCCUCUCUGCAUACAAGUGCUUUCUAGCAUCCAUAAAUAACAGAUCACACACAAAUCCCAGAGAGAAUCAUACACAAACAUGUGCUCGUGUUUGGCAAUAGACAUAUCAAUGUAUGUGCACAGUUGUAUUUAUCAGCAAUUGUCUAGUGUAACUUGUAUUCUCCUAUUUAUCUGUCAUACCCAUGAAAAUGGAAUCAAUCCCCAACAUGCAUCUGCGGCUUAUAUUUUCUUCAAAAUGAAAGAAACAUGCUCAUUUUCUCACUUAAAUGGGGACCUUCACAAAUUUUGAGCAUACACAAGUACAACUGUUUAAAGCUGAUAAUUUCCAGGUGCCCUAAAAGUAUCAGAGCUCCAUGCACAUGUUAGUCCCUCAACGUUUUUCCAAAAAUGGAUGUCAUGCUGUUUCUGUACAGCCCAAUCUCCUAAACUGUACCAGUCAUUCCUCCAUGAAAGAAAAACGCAAAUCAUAUAACAUAAAAUAAAAUAAGAAAAUAUAUAAAGCUUAAACGAUGAACCAUAAGCAGCAACUAUCACAAAAGAAUUCAUCAAUAAUAAUAAUGAUGAUCAUGACGAUAAAACCUUGAGCAGGAAGACUACAUAGCCACAAACAAGUGAAUUUACCUGAAAUCCUGGUUGGUCUCAUUUGGAUUAGGUCCAUCCAGAGGCCAUCUUUCUGGGUUAAAUCUCUCUGCUUCUUCCCAACGUUUGGGACAAUGAUGCAAGUUCCAAACAGAAAUAAAAAUAUCUUCACCCCUGUAUCAAAAGAGAGAAAAUAUUCUUCAAUUCUGUGGAUACAUCAUGAAAAUUGUCCAAGAAGACUGAAAGUGGAGGAAGCAACACUGGCAAACUUAUAAGCUGAAACCAUUCAGAAGCCUUUUUAUUAUUUGUUGCAAAAUCAGGUUAAAAGCAAAAUAUUACUCUAAAUUAGUGUUGAGAAGUUUGUGCAGGUUAAGAUAUCACGUGCCAGAAUUUUAAUCUUGGUCUUUUCCUGUAUUUGUGUCCACUUGUAAAGGGAAGAUCAGUCGAGCAGUCACAAAAGCUUAGAUUUCACCAAAAAUGAGAACCAACAUGUCACAACCUGGGUGCAACAAACUUGUAUUGAAUUAGGAGAAAUUCAAAAAUUUUAGCCAAUUACUAUUGAUGAGUGUCAACCACUAAUCUCCACCCUUUAACUCUGUCAUCUGUCUUUAGAAAUGUAAAAUGCAUUGGUUCCAUAAUGCAGCCUUCGGUAAGAGUAAAUGUUAAAACAAGAAACAAGCAUAAUUUUGGAUCUCCCAAGGAAAUAGAUAGGAGAUGUAUCAGAUGUCUUGAACUUGUCACCAAGCCUUCAUUUGGAUUUCUCCCAGAUUAGCUCACCCUAGGAUCUGGAGACUGAAAAAUUUUGUUCCAGCUAAAGCACCUUAUCACACUUAAAUGCAAGGAAAUAGGACAUGCAAAUUUUCACCAGUUUGACUUUAACAUUCCUAGGAUGCCAGAAAUCAUAUUACAAUGGCAGGAUUACAGAGGUAAACUAGUGUAUAUGUCUAAAAAAAUCAUAGUAAGUGUGCCUACAGCUCCAACAAUGCCAGACAUAAUGGAAUUCAGAUAUGAAUGGAUCAGAAUGUUGGAAUGUUCCUUUGAGGCUGAUUUUUGCCCUGCAUUUUUUAAACAACUAAACCCAAAAUAAAAUAAAUAAAAUUGAUUUAAGCUGACCUAUAAAUAGAAUAAACCAAAUACAUCCUAGUCUCUGUUCUUUUAUUGUAAAGUUAAUUUAAGCUGACGAUCUAUAAUUGCCUUUUAUCUUGUGCAAAGUAAAGAAUACCUAAUAAAUACAAAUCCUGCAUGCCUUGGGUCCACGAAAUAACAAUUUUGGCUUAAAAAAAAUGAACAAACAAUUUUGACCUUCUAAUUGGGUACUCUCCAAGCAUGUCAUUUUCAAGAGAACGGCGGAUUAAAACUGGCGGCUGUGGAUAGAGUCUCAAGGACUGCAAAAUGACAAAACUAAGACAAUAAGAAAAAAAUCCUGCAUACUACCCAAAAACUGGUUGAUUCUUAAUGAAUUACAAAGAAAUGCUUCUCACUUCAUUAAUCACUCGAGUUGUGUAUUUCAGUUUCUUCAGGUCUUCCAUGGUUGGAAACCGAUCACCAAGAACUGCAUCCGCCUGAAACAACAUUUUAAAAUAUAAGAUAUCGAUCUAUUAUUGUUAUAGCACUUAUAUUAUUAGUUAAAACAGAGAUUGUGGAAUUUAAUGCAGCCACAAAAAAAUCCAAAGUUUCAACCUACCUCAUUUUGAAGCUUGGCUAGCACACUAGGUUCCUGCAGUUAUUAGCCCAAGACACAAAAACAACUAUCAUAUAAGCUCAACCAUUGUAGAAGAUAAUUUAACAUUGGCAAAGCACAAAUUUACUUUCAACAGUCAUGGUUAAAAAUUACACAUUUAGGCAGAGAUGUUGUCUUGGCAGGGGGAGGAGUUAGAGAAGAAAUAACCAAGAGAACCAAACUUGUAGCUUUAACCAAAACUGUAUAAGUUAAGCACUUACCAGAACGAAGCAGCAAUGGAAUGGAAAGAUAUUACAGAAUUUGUAGUUAAUAGUAAUUGUGUGGCAUAUGCUUCUCAAGAAAAAUACUGAUUAACAUUAUGUUGUUAUCAUCUGAAAAGAUGUACUCCAAAUUCUCAAAUUACCUAACUUCUAGGAAAGUUUGUUAAUCAACAUAGUCUGCAUCUGUAAAGUUCUGAAUAUGCCCAAAUUGCAUAGUGAUAGCUGUACAACUACUAUAUGAAAAUAAAAUUGCUUCUUCACUUCAUGGACAAACACAUUUCAAAGAAGUUGAGUAGUAAAACAAAUAGAAUAAAAUAAAAACCUUGGAAAGAAGAUAAAAUGUCCAUGUCAGUACUGCAGCAGAUGUCUCAUGCCCAGCUAUAAGCAGUGUCAUCAAAUCAUCGCGCAGUUGUUUGCUAGAGACCUAAUACUUAGUACAUGAGAACCUUUGUAGAAAAAAAUAAUGAUGCAGUAAACAUAAUAACAAGGCACAAAAGAUGUUUACAUCGUCGCCAGAUGCUAGCAGAAAAUGAAGAAUACUAGGAUCUUGUUCAUUCAUGUACUCCUCAUGGAACUGCAACUCUUCUUCAUCUACCAUUCUCUGCAAUUAGUAAAGAUACAGAUUUAAGAAAAGAUGAAUUAGUCCUGAAUAGGUGAGGUUCUCUAGUCUACUUCAAGAUAUAUAAGUUGCAUUGGGUCCACGUACUCGGGAUAAGAAGACCUCGUAAUAUUCUAGAACAACAUGUACUUGGGGUGUAAAGACAACACCAAAGUAGUUUUUAGCAUACACCAGCAGUUUUCAUGUUAAGCCAAACAAGGCAGAAUAAGCAGCUUGCAAAUCCAGCAUGAGCUACUAGUAGCAUGUGUUAUUUACUUAAGUAUAUUGGAAAAGAAAUACAUGCUCGAGAAAGGAAGAGAAAAGAACCACUCCUGUGCCUGGACAUAUAAGAUACAUCUUAGGAGGCGUUAAAAAGAUAUUUGCUUCUUAAUUCCUUUGAUGUGUAAAUUCUUCCUUAUACAUGCUAAGAGGUCUUAACAAGUUAUUUGUCUCUCAAAUGCUUUGAUGCAUAAAUUGUUCCUUUCACUUCCUAACCAAAAGUAAAGGGUGCACAAGCACAAUUUCCAAGCACGGUUAAGAUGAUUUAUAUUUUGUUAUUGGAGCCACAUACAAAUUAGCUAAACCACUAUAGCCAUCAAAAGGGUCUUAACCCACACUAUCAUCUAAUCAUUACAAAAGAAAAGCAUAUAAACUACAGAUUUGUUGCUGCAUCAGGUGAAUCCUGUUUCCACAAAAAGCAUCAAAUACUACAUAUGCUUUUUUUAGUCCUUGAAUGAUUUAUCUUUCUUACUAACACACUAAUAGAGUUUUUCCCAUUGCUGAUCUAAAAGUAAGAGAGUAAACGCAGUUUCUCCCUGAAGUUGAUCACUAAAGCAGAUAGUGUGAAGUUCGUUUACCUUUUCUUAAAUAAAAUUCAUCUUCUUUCACCCUAACUAUUAUACAUACGAGAGACAUGAAUGAUGCAGGGAGAAAUGCUGCCAUGAAGAAGCAAAAACAUGAAAGUGUGGAUAAUUUAUUCGAAACAGAAAAAAAUGAAGGUGAAAGGACAACAAGAUGAGAGAAAAUUCAGAACCACAAUAACUGGAUUAAUUAAAUAGCCGCUUUACAUCUCUAGAACCAUUUGUAUCAGUCACCAUCCUGAGAGAAAGUCAGAAAGUUAUUAUGUUCAACUAAAAAUAAAGACAUAUGAUACACAACUAAAAUAUCUGUACACCAACCACACUUGUUUUACAAUGUAGCCUUCUUAAGGAGUUAAGGUAGCAGUCAACUUCAUUUUGUCCAAAUAAUGCAAAACUUGUAGAUACACUUUAUAAAAUAUAAAGUGGUUCCUUCAUUUGCUAUCAUUAAGGCUUAUGAUAUCUGAACUGGUCUGAACCAUUAGCUGUAAUACUUGAGAUACAUCUAGGCAACGAGCUAACCAAUCAAAACCAAAGAAGCCACUUCAUGUUACUCCAUCUCUGCUUUUUGAAGCAACCCCAUCUGCACAAAUUAUAUAUUUACACAAGAAGAAAAUGAAACCUAUUAGAGAUGGCAAAGUUUAAGAAACAAGUACCUUCCAUGCAUACAUCCCAAAGAAGGCUAUGGUAUCGGCAGACCAAACAACUGCAAAUGAUUUCCAGAAGAAUGGGAUUAAAACAUUCAAGAGCGGGAUUAGCAGAAAGAGAUAAUUGAGGGCUUCUUUCUCAUUUUUUGAGCAGUCUCGUGCCCGGAGGGAAGGAAUAGCUGCAAAAGCAUGAAAUUGACCUCUUUAACAGAAGUAGCCAAAACUGGUCACUCUUAUAAAGCUGGAAUAUCUCCCAUCUAGGAGCUUAUCAUGUCUGAUCACAAGCAUGGUACAUCUUUUAUUUUCCUCUUUUUCUUUACAAACACAUAUAAACUGAUGGUUACCUCCAUUAAUUAGUAACCUUCUGCCAUAAUAUGGCUAGUCCUAAAAUUAAUACAUCUUCCAAAUACUUUUCCCAUACAAUAGAUAAGCUGCUUGAAGAUUAUUACACAGUCAGCCGGAAAAUGGAAAUGAACAAGAAGUAAGAAGCAUAACAUUGCAUAUGACUGAAGUCUUUGGAAUGUCCCUCUCUGACCAGCAAUGCAAUUUAGAUAACUAAGCACCAUAUAAGGAAACUUUUAUCAUUAAGCAUCAAAAAAGAAAGAAACAAUCUAUCGUGUAAUACAUUUCUAUUUUAAAAAAAUUAUUGUUAUUGGAAUGAGUAUUGCUUACUGAACAUCCAGAUGGACCACAUCCCCAUUAGUCUCCAUAUGUCUGGCUCAUUAGAGGGGAAUAUCAGAUUAAAAGACAGAGCUCCUCCUAGCAACAUUGAGACAUAACCUUGCACCUCAAAAACAGUAUAUAGAAUGGUUCCAGGUACAGCAGGAUUUUUGGUAGCAACAGAAGCCCUAGGUGCAAAAGUUGCUGCAGUCUUUUGGACAACCUUUCCAAAAAAGUCGAUCAUCGUAUAAAAUUUCUAUCUUUCCUAAAAGUUAUAGUAAGAUAUGCAGAAAAGAAGAGUAGAUGAAAAUAUAAAACUUAUUGAAGCUGAAAAGCAGUAAUAUUAACUUCAACAGAAAUAACUUUUAUGCCACCAGACAAUCAAGUGGCUAGUAUUGCUCAGGGGACUAUAUAAACAUUAGGUGCAUAUUUUCAUUCCAGACUCUAAAGAAUAGUUGACACAGUCGCACAAGUGAAUAACAACAAGCAGAAUGCAUCAAAAUUUAAAACAACACAACCAUCAUUCUCAUCAUGCCAGCAUAGAGUAGCUAUUGACUUCCUGAUAUCUGAACGCUACAGGCCUGGUAGGUGCUAAAGAACCAAGUAUAAUAUUUCCUUGUGCAAGAUUGUUAUCAACAGUUCAUGGAAAUCCUCCAAGCUAAUUAGCAGGAGUUGUUAAUUCCUUUUGGAAAUUGUAGGAUUAGUCUACAACUUUUAGGAAGAGAUAAAUAUAGACUGCUAUGUAUAAGAAGUGUGGAUAAAAACAUUGAAAUUAGGAUAACUUUUCUCCUAAACAAAAUCGCCCCAUUACUGAUAACCACUUAAGGGCUCAUCUGUCUCACAGACCAGAUGAGAAAGUGAGAAACCUGUUAAUCCAGCUAUUACAAUUUACAGAAGCCAGGUUUAAUAGUCUGUCUAAAACAUUUGAUUCACACCUAAACUAAAUCUUAAUGCAUCCAAGAAAAGAAACAAAUAUAUGAACUGGGAAUUGCCAGUAAUAAUUCAAAUCAAGAGAAACCAUUUUGAGAAAGACACCUUUUUAAGGUCCUUAUCGAGUAGAGGAGCACACAGUGCUUGAACUGUUUCUUUCCCCUUCCUUUUCUGGCAACUGGGCUACUUCUUUUCCAUUGAAUUCUUGCACUACUCUCUCUUCUUCUUGGAAGAAGAAGAAGAAGAAGAAGACUCCUCCUCCUUGAGUGCUAUCUUUGUAUCCGACGGCCCAUUUGAACUACCGGUUGAAUGCAGGCUGAAUCUUUUGGAUGGAAGCUGAUGCGAACUAAUCCAACCCUGGUUUCUCAAGAAUGAUGCAGAGAUUAAGCGAGGCUUUAAAUCUUGACAAUUUAUAUAGUUACAGUGACAAAGAGACGUUGAUAAUGAUAAGCUGCUCAUUUUUUCCUUCUUUUGUUGAUGAUUUUGCUAAGGCUAACUUGAAUGUGAAUAUCAGAGUGAGAUAUCACUUAGUGCUAACUGCUAACUAACGAACUCCAGCCAUGAUUUUGCGGUUGAGCCAUGGGGCGCCACUACGACGACGUAUGAUGAAGUAAUUCGCAUUUCUGCAAAUCACUAUUAUUGACCCUCUAAAAAAUUUUCAAACACCUGCAUUUAAGUGAAGUUUACUUAACCAUCUAAAAAGGGUAUUUGAAAAAAAAAAACCUCUAAAAAGGAUUAUAAGUAUGCUCUCCUCUCAUUUUCUCUUUUUUUUUUUUUUUUUUUUGGUAAACCUUUGUUGUAAAACCAAAAAUCAACGCAGUUGAUAGAGACAUUAAUCAAGUGAUAAUUUUUUUUGUCAUUUUACCUUUUACAUUUUUCUUUAAAAAAAGAAAAAGGCAAAAUGCGAAAGGGUAGGGAGGGUGAUAAUUAAACUAAUAAAGGUGGGUUUGAUAAAAUUGAAAUUUGAAAUCUAAAAUCUAAAUUCUGAAUCCAUGAAAUUAUUGAAUUGUUAAAUAUUAAAUAGAAUAUAUUUGAGUGUAUAUCAUAUUUAGUGAUAAAUGAAUAGUUUAUCAAUAAUUUUUUCGAGCAAGUUUUGCCUAAAAAAUUCAGUACUACUUAAUUAAUUCAGAUAUUUAAUUUUUAUUAUCAAAUGCAUCAAACAUGUUAAGAUAUGAAUUUAUUAAGUUUAAACGCUGAAUUGAAUUAUCAAACACGGCCUAAGAUAAUAAACAAAGACCCUUAACUACUAGCCUAGUGAAUUAUUGUCUAUUCAGUACUCACCUGUUGGCUGAUAAUUAAGCCAAGAAAGAUGUAGUCCGACUGACUUUUUCUAAUCUGGUUUUUAAGUGAAAAUCUUCCCCCCUUCAAAAUUGAGAAGGACAAAACAAAAAGGGAGUCCACCCAACGCUCGAUGGGGCUGUCUAAAUUUCCAAAAAGCAAGCUUAUCAAGGAACUGCCUGGGACAUAAAGAACCAUUGCUCUAGCUUCCUACCCAAAAAAAAAAAAAAAAAGAGAACCACUGCUCUUUUGUUAAUGGCUGCUCUACCAAAGAUUUUAUUUACUUAGAACUACAUUGAAUAAUAAUCAAAGAAUUUUUAGCUUAAGAAAACUACAGAAUCCUUCCUCAACCCUACAGAUGAGUACAGACCAGCAUCGAUCUUCUUAACUUUUAUCAUGAAUCUACUAAAAACUAAAUCUGCAGCUAAACCUUGGCGUUAUGAUCAUCAGAAAUAGUCUCCUCUGAAGACGUAUCACUGUCAAUGAUGAUCAGGUCCUGUUUGAUACCAGGAUUCUGCACUUCAGCUUGAUUAUGUUCUAACACAAAUGGGAAGUUGCCAUUAUGAGCUCCAGCUCCUGCUUGUUGCUCGACUCUUUCUGCAACGGUGCGCUUGUUGCUUAUUCGAUAACUUGGCUCAUGAUGAAUUCCUUGGCAUCAAGAAAAGGUUUCUUUACCCACUGCCUUUCAACAGAACCUACAGAUGAGUUAUCUGAUGGCAGAACCGUCUGAGGAGAUCUCAAAGGGAUUGAGACUACUUCUCUGAGCCAGUGAGGCAAAUUUCCCCCGAUAGCCAUACAAGUUGACUGAUUGGCACCAAAAGAACAUUCGACAUCCAGCAUUGCAUUGUUUUGAAGCAUAGCUCUCCUGCGGUUUUCCCUGCAGGAAUACAUGUCCUCGUGUUUGUUGCAGCUUUUUGAAGUUGCCAAGGUGCAUUAGUUUGCACAUUGAAAUAAUUAAAGAGUGGUCUUUUCUGGACUGCCAUUUGGCUGGGAAUAUACAUCUCCAAGUGAAAGUUGAACAUCAUCCA
rnacentral:lncRNA from 1 species